rnacentral:rRNA from 1 species
AGCGGCGAGCGAAGCGGGAAGAGCUCAAAUUUAUAAUCUGGCACCUUCGGUGUCCGAGUUGUAAUCUCUAGAAGUGUUUUCCGCGUUGGACCGCACACAAGUCUGUUGGAAUACAGCGGCAUAGUGGUGAAACCCCCGUAUAUGGUGCGGACGCCCAGCGCUUUGUGAUACACUUUCAAUGAGUCGAGUUGUUUGGGAAUGCAGCUCAAAUUGGGUGGUAAAUUCCAUCUAAAGCUAAAUAUUGGCGAGAGACCGAUAGCGAACAAGUACCGUGAGGGAAAGAUGAAAAGCACUUUGGAAAGAGAGUUAACAGUACGUGAAAUUGUUGGAAGGGAAACGCUUGAAGUCAGACUUGCUUGCCGGAGCUUGCUUCGGUUUGCAGGCCAGCAUCAGUUUUCCGGGGUGGAUAAUGACGGUUUGAAGGUAGCAGUCUCGGCUGUGUUAUAGCUUUCCGUUGGAUACGCCCUGGGGGACUGAGGAACGCAGCGUGCUUUUUGCGAAAGACUCGUCUUUUUCACGCUUAGGAUGCUGGUGGAAUGGCUUUAAACGACCCGUCUUGAAACACGGACCAAGGAGUCUAACAUGCUCGCGAGUAUUUGGGUGUCAAACCCGGAUGCGCAAUGAAAGUGAAUGUAGGUGGGAACCGCAAGGUGCACCAUCGACCGAUCUGGAUUUUUUAAGAUGGAUUUGAGUAAGAGCGCGUAUGUUGGGACCCGAAAGAUGGUGAACUAUGCCUGAAUAGGGCGAAGCCAGAGGAAACUCUGGUGGAGGCUCGUAGCGGUUCUGACGUGCAAAUCGAUCGUCAAAUUUGGGUAUAGGGGCGAAAGACUAAUCGAACCAUCUAGUAGCUGGUUCCUGCCGAAGUUUCCCUCAGGAUAGCAGAAACUCACAUCAGUUCUAUGAGGUAAAGCGAAUGAUUAGAGGCCUUGGGGUUGAAACAACCUUAACCUAUUCUCAAACUUUAAAUAUGUAGGAAGUCCUUGCUACUUAAUUGAGCGAGGACAU